AUUAGAAUUGCAACCAAACCAUCUGAACUGACAGAAUUUGCACCAAAAAACCAAAUACUUCAUCAUUUGCAGCCAAUUAAUUCAGAAAAAGAAUGCAGUCUACCAUCAGACUGGAAUUCUCUUUUGGGGGAUGAAGAAAUUAAAAUAAUACCAUAUUUAUCAAGUCCUGAAGAAGAAACUUAUGAGUGUCUUACAUAAGUUUGUUUGCAGAAAAUGAAAAAAAGGCAAACUAUUGUGAAAUUCAAGAAACUAUAUAUACUGUGGAAACAGUUCUCAGGAUUAAAAUGAAGUACUGUUAAAAAUACUUUGUAUUUAAUGCAUAACAAGUAACACAGAUGGACAACAUAUAAAGCAGUUUACUUUACCUGAUAAUACUGUUCCUUCACAACAGUUCUACUUUCUCACUGGAAAGAUUAAUUUUACUCGUGUUAAAAUCAGUUGAACUCUCCUUAUUUCAAAAAGUAUUUGAGAAAGUGUUAUCAUAUGUUUUAUGGAUAAAAUAAACAAUUCUCUCUUUG